GAGCUGUGACGAAUUCGCGCAUUGUUGUAAUUGAUGGGUCAAUUACUAACAUCUUAAACAAUUAGAUGAAAAUAUAUGCAUCCGAGCUC